rnacentral:tRNA from 1 species
GCCCUGAUAGUUCAGCCAGGAUAGAACACGGCCCUCCGGAGGCCGAGACCCGGGUUCAAAUCCCGGACAGGGCG